ACUCCUACGGGAGGCAGCAGUGGGGAAUAUUGCACAAUGGGCGCAAGCCUGAUGCAGCCAUGCCGCGUGUGUGAAGAAGGCCUUCGGUUGUAAAGCACUUUCAGUUGUGAGGAAGGUGGUGUCGUUAAUAGCGGCAUCAUUUGACGUUAGCAACAGAAGAAGCACCGGCUAACUCCGUGCCAGCAGCCGCGGUAAUACGGAGGGUGCGAGCGUUAAUCGGAAUUACUGGGGCGUAAAGCGCAUGCAGGUGGUUUGUUAAGUCAGAUGUGAAAGCCCGGGGCGUCAACCUCGGAACUGCAUUUGAAACUGGCAGACUAGAGUACUGUAGAGGGGGUAGAAUUUCAGGUGUAGCGGUGAAAUGCGUAGAGAUCUGAAGGAAUACCGGUGGCGAAGGCGGCCCCCUGGACAGAUACUGACACUCAGAUGCGAAAGGCGUGGGGAGCAAACAGGAUUAGAUACCCUGGUAGGACAGUG
rnacentral:rRNA from 1 species